GAUGAACGCUGGCGGCGUGCCUAAUACAUGCAAGUCGAGCGAACAGACGAGGAGCUUGCUCCUCUGACGUUAGCGGCGCACGGGUGAGUAACACGUGGAUAAACUACCUAUAAGGCUGGGUUAACUUCGGGAAACCGGAGCUACUACCAGCCAAUAUUAUGAACAGCAUAGUCAAAUAGUGAACGACGGUUUUGCUGUAAAGUUACGACGGAUCCGCGCCGCAUUAGCUAGUUGGUAAGGUAACGGCUUACCACGGCAACGAUGCGUAGCCGACCUGAGAGGGUGAUCGGCCACACUGGAACUGAGACACGGUCCAGACUCCUACGGGAGGCAGCAGUAGGGAAUCUUCCGCAAUGGGCGAAAGCGUGACGGAGCAACGCCGCGUGAGUGAUGAAGGUCUUCGGAUCGUAAAACUCUGUUAUUAGGGAAGAACAAAUGUGUAAGUAACUAUGCACGUCUUGACGGUACCUAAUCAGAAAGCCACGGCUAACUACGUG
rnacentral:rRNA from 1 species